ACCGGGGGAUAACAGCUGGAAACGGCUGCUAAUACCGCAUAAGCGCACAGAGCUGCAUGGCUCGGUGUGAAAAACUCCGGUGGUAUGGGAUGGGCCCGCGUCUGAUUAGGCAGUUGGCGGGGUAACGGCCCACCAAACCGACGAUCAGUAGCCGGCCUGAGAGGGCGACCGGCCACAUUGGGACUGAGACACGGCCCAAACUCCUACGGGAGGCAGCAGUGGGGAAUAUUGCACAAUGGGGGAAACCCUGAUGCAGCGACGCCGCGUGAGCGAAGAAGUAUUUCGGUAUGUAAAGCUCUAUCAGCAGGGAAGAUAAUGACGGUACCUGACUAAGAAGCCCCGGCUAACUACGUGCCAGCAGCCGCAGUAAUACGUAGGGGGCAAGCGUUAUCCGGAUUUACUGGGUGUAAAGGGAGCGUAGACGGCAAGGCAAGUCUGAUGUGAAAACCCAGGGCUUAACCCUGGGACUGCAUUGGAAACUGUCUGGCUCGAGUGCCGGAGAGGUAAGCGGAAUUCCUAGUGUAGCGGUGAAAUGCGUAGAUAUUAGGAAGAACACCAGUGGCGAAGGCGGCUUACUGGACGGUAACUGACGUUGAGGCUCGAAAGCGUGGGGAGCAAACAGGAUUAGAUACCCUGGUAGUCCACGCCGUAAAC
rnacentral:rRNA from 1 species